UCUUUGGGCUCCCACCUGCCUCUUCCCUCUGCCAUCAGCCUCCACCCCUGUGCGCUUGUGGGACCCUUUUGCCCCGGUCACUGUGAUGCCCUGGGCGCCCAGGCUGCCUCAUUCCCCUCAUUUGUUAACUCCUUAUCUCCCCAGCCCAGGCCUUUGGGGGAACUGGACAAACAGGAACUGAGAGGAACUGAGUGCUCUCUGCUCAAACAAGGGUGGGCCGGCUGGGGGAGGAGGCCUGGGUCUUUGGGCUCCCACCUGCCUCUUCCCUCUGCCAUCAGCCUCCACCCCUGUGCGCUUGUGGGACCCUUUUGCCCCGGUCACUGUGAUGCCCUGGGGGCCAGACCCAGCUACACACCCAGGUGUCAGCCUUUAUCACCCUGGUUGGGGAGGCACGUGGGGAGCUGGCACUGUCUGUGCUGCACAGCUCGUCCCUAGACUAAGUCUGCCCUGCCCACUCCCCCUUUUCCUCUGGCUGCAGAUCUGAGCCAGAUCACUCAAAGGCUCUGCUGGGAACCGGAAGGACGGAUGUGAUGCAUUGAGACCCACCCUGCUCUGGAGCCAGAGGCUGCUCCCCGCCUGUUCCCCAGCCCAGGGCCAGGCAGGCUGUGAACGAGCUCAAGCCUGGAAGGUGCUUCUGUAGACCUUGGUCUCCCUGUACCCCCAGGAAGGCAGAGUGGUCACCUCAGAAGCCCAACACCAGUGACUGGAGGUGGCAGUAUCAAGAAGGCAGUAUAAACCACCAGGGGGUGGAAUGACAGCAGCUCAGGUGGCUCCUCCAGACCUGGCUCUGGA
rnacentral:lncRNA from 1 species